GUGCUUGCUUUGGCAGCACAUAUACUAAAACUGGAACUAUACAGAGAUUAGCAUGGCCCCUGAGCAAGGAUGACAGGCAACUUUGUGAAGUGUUCCAUAUUUUA